GACGAACGCUGGCGGCGUGCUUAACACAUGCAAGUCGAACGAAGAGCGAUGGAAGCUUGCUUCUAUCAAUCUUAGUGGCGAACGGGUGAGUAACGCGUAAUCAACCUGCCCUUCAGAGGGGGACAACAGUUGGAAACGACUGCUAAUACCGCAUACGAUCUAAUCUCGGCAUCGAGGAUAGAUGAAAGGUGGCCUCUACAUGUAAGCUAUCACUGAAGGAGGGGAUUGCGUCUGAUUAGCUAGUUGGAGGGGUAACGGCCCACCAAGGCGAUGAUCAGUAGCCGGUCUGAGAGGAUGAACGGCCACAUUGGGACUGAGACACGGCCCAGACUCCUACGGGAGGCAGCAGUGGGGAAUCUUCCGCAAUGGACGAGAGUCUGACGGAGCAACGCCGCGUGAGUGAUGACGGCCUUCGGGUUGUAAAGCUCUGUUAAUCGGGACGAAAGGCCUUCUUGCGAAUAGGGAGAAGGAUUGACGGUACCGGAAUAGAAAGCCACGGCUAACUACGUG
rnacentral:rRNA from 1 species